ensembl:lncRNA
UCCCACUGGAGCCAGUAAGUCUGGUUCUGUGACGAGGCCAAUCGACUGACUUCUUUGUUGUGUAAACUGCUUACAGCCAUGUCUUACAGACCUGCAGACAUUGUGGAAUCCCGCCACGGAAGCCUCGGCCCGGACAGGCCGAGGCUUGGACUGGGUAUACCACCCCCACCCACCAGCCGGCGAUGGAGAGCAGCCCAUUCGGCUCCCCAAUCAGGGUGAUUGGGGGACACCUGGCCGAGGAGCCAUCUUAAGAGGAGGACCAGCACAGCACAGCACGGGUCGGGAGCAGGAAGGAAGGACUCGUGGCAGCGAGAGAGCCUAGAGGCCCACGGAGGCCCUAGAGACCGCGACUCCUUCAUAGUUUGAUUGUUUCACGUUGAUUGUUAAAUAAAUGCCUGCCAUGGCUAAAAACCCUACGCCAAGCAAGUUUUGUCCAUGGAACCCGGCCCAACCGAGGACCGGGAUACCACAUAUGGUGGAGAAUGCAGGCACCAUGAAGGUCCCACUACGGCUCCCCGGUACAGACGCCGCCGCCGCAAGAGACGCCGCCGCCGCAAGGGACGCCGCCGCCGCCGCAAGGGACGCCGCCGCCGCCGCAAGGGACGCCGCCGCCGCCGCAAGGGAUGCCGCCGCAGCCGCAAGGGACGUCGCCACCGCCGCAAGGGACGUCGCCGCCGCCGCAAGAGACGUCGCCGCCGCCGCAAGAGAUGUCGCCACUGCCGCAAGAGACGCUGCCGCCGCCGCAAGAGACGCUGCCGCCGCCGCAAGAGACGCCGCCGCCGCCGAAAGGGACGCCGCCGCCGCCGCAAGGGACGCCGCCGCCGCCGGUGCAAGGGACGCCCCCGCCGCCACAGCGCGAGACGAGGCCGCAGCGCGAGACCGGGACGUGACAGUGCCGUCGGCCUACGCGGACGUGGGGACGGGCCGGCCCUGCAUGCUGGCGACAUGUUGGGCAAAGGAAGCGUCUGGGUGCCCAACCGUACCUGCGAGGGUGAUGUCCAAACAGACGCAGGCCAUAGUGGACACUGGCAGCAUGGUCACCCUCCUCCGGACCGACCUGGCGGGGGGAAGGGAAGGGUCACCAAUGGAGGUGACAUGCGUACACGGGGACACACGAACAUACAAGACCUGCCACGUGGUCGUCCGGACACCACAGGGGGUUUUCACGGCUAGGGCAGGGGUCGUGCCACACCUCCCGGUGCCGUUCCUAAUUGGGAGGGACUGCCCGAUUCUCCGUCGGCUUUGGGACCCGGCGCUGGAGUCCCGGGUCCGGAGAGAUGCGGUCGCCGGCGCGGCAGGAGGUGCAGCGGUCGCCGGCGCGGCAGGAGGUGCAGCGGUCGCCGGCGCGGCAGGAGGUGCAGCCGCCGCCGGCGCGGCGAGAGAUGCGGCUGCCGUCGCGGCAAGGGAUGCGGCCGGCGCCGCUGCGAGAGGUGCGGUGCGAGAGGAGAGAACUUUCUCUUCAUCACUCCCGUAUACCACAAUGCAAUGCGGUCGUGUUUUUCCGAAGGAGAAGAAGCAGCUGAUAACUGCGAAAACGAAUACAUUUGAUGAUGGAG